GCACUAUACAUCUAUCUAUCUAUCUAUCUAUCUAUCUAUAAAAGGGCCGUAAACUCACCAAGUCCAACCAGAUCAGUCAGAGAGACUCGUCGAUCCAAGCAUCUAGCUGGUCCCCUUUCCUUUUGUUGAGUAGCAAAAUUGAGGCAUGUGGAGUUGUUUAUGUGGUGGCCAUUCUAUAACCAUUGUUGGAUGAUCAUGCAUGGAGGUCAGGUGCUAUGUCCUGUGAAAUCCACUAUCUUCUCAUGUGAUCCACAAUAUCUGGGGCUUGACUUGAAGAGACUUUGGUAGACUUCAAUUUUGGUGCCCUUUAGAACAAAAGUGCAGAAAGCAUCAGAAAGUGGAAA